rnacentral:misc_RNA from 1 species
UUUCCGUAGGUGAACCUGCGGAAGGAUCAUUAAAGAGUUGUCAUGGGGUUCGAUGCUGGCAGCCAAUUUUUGGAUGCAUGUGCUUGCCCUAACAAUCAUCUUCCAAACACCUGUGCACAUUUUUGAGGGAGUCUUGAGUUGGUUGCCGCUCUUGGGUGAUCUUCUCACAUUCCCUUAAAUCAUUAUACGCUAUUAACAAUGUUGAACGUGCUCUGUGCCGCAAGGCUAUUAAUAUAAUACAACUUUUAACAACGGAUCUCUUGGCUCUC